rnacentral:rRNA from 1 species
CCUACGUGUGGCAGCAGUGAGGAAUAUUGGUCAAUGGGCGCGAGCCUGAACCAGCCAAGUAGCGUGAAGGAUGACUGCCCUACGGGUUGUAAACUUCUUUUAUAAAGGAAUAAAGUGAGGCACGUGUGCCUUUUUGUAUGUACUUUAUGAAUAAGGAUCGGCUAACUCCGUGCCAGCAGCCGCGGUAAUACGGAGGAUCCGAGAGUUUUCCGGAUUUAUUGGGUUUAAAGGGAGGGUAGAGGGGUUGUUAAGUCAGUUGUGAAAGUUUGGGGCUCAAAAGUAAAAUUGCAAUUGAUACUGGCAGUCUUGAGUACAGUUGAGGUAUGCGGAAUGCGUGGUGUAGCGGUGAAAUGCUUAGAUAUCACGAAGAACUCCGAUUGCGAAGGCAGCUUACUAAACUGCCACUGACAUUGAUGCUCGAAAGUGUGGGUAUCAAACAGGAUUAGAUACCCUGGUAGUC